GAGGGUUUGAUUGAUUUGCAUAAGGAUGAAGAGGUCUCUGAGAAAGUUGCGAGUUCUGGCAGUAGAGAAGCAAGAGCAUGACCGAAGCAACAUUCUGCCUUUGUCCCAGUUGAAGGAGCUGGCUAUGGCUACCCAGGACAUGCAAGACAUGAGAGACUGCUACGAUAGUUUGCUUUCCGCGGCAGCAGCUGCAGCCAACUGUGCUUAUGAAUUCUCAGAGUCCUUGACAGAAUUGGGGUCUUGUCUUCUUGAGAAAACCGCCUUAAAUGACGAUGAAGAAAGCGGAAAAGUUCUGCUAAUGCUGGGUAAAAUGCAGUUUCAAAUCCGGGAGCUCAUUGAUAACUAUCGUUCUCAUAUAUCCCAGACAAUUACCAUUCCAUCAGAGUCUCUUCUCAAUGAACUUGGAAUUGUUGAGGAGAUGAAGCAGCAUUGUGAUGAAAAAAGAGAAGUAUAUGAGUACAUGUUAACAAGAUAUAGAGAAAGAGGUAGGUCUAGAAGUGGAAAAGCAGAGAGUUUUUCCUUGCAGCAGUUGCAAACUGCUCGUGAUGAAUAUGAUGACGAGGCUACAUUAUUUGUUUUCCGCUUGAAAUCUCUGAAGCACGGACAAUCAUGGAGUCUUCUAACACAGGCAGCACGUCACCAUGCAGCUCAGUUGUGUUUCUUCAAGAAAGCAGUUAAGUCUCUUGAGACAGUAGAGCCACAUGUGAAAUCAGUAUCUGAACAGCAACACAUUGAUUACCACUUCAUUGGCCUUGAAGGGGAGGAUGAGGAUGAAGGUGAUGAUUUAGAACAUGAUGAUGAUGGUUACGAUGAGAAUGAUGAUGGGGAGCUGAGUUUUGACUAUGGACAAAAUGAACACGUGCAAGACAUUUCUAUGUCACGAAACUCGACGAAGGAAUACUUAAAUAGGCUUCCUAGGCAUUCAUUCUCCUUCAGGGUUAGGACAGGGAGCCAAUCUGCCCCACUUUUUGCUGAUAGGAAACCUGAUUCUAAUGAAAAGCUGAGUAAGAUGGGGCCAUCUUUAUCACGGAAGUUCAAUUCAUAUGUACUACCCACACCUGUUGAUGCAAAGAGUUCAAUAUCUUCAAGGUCAAGUAAUCAAGUACCUUCCAAAUUGAAGACAAAUAUAGAUGAACCAACAAAGAAUUUGUGGCAUUCAUCCCCACUGGAAAAAAAGAAAUACGAAAAAGGUCUUGGAGAUGAGGGAUUUUCUGGUCCUAAUGUUAGAAAUGCAGAGUCUGUGCUCAAGGAGAGUAACGGCAAUGCUGCCUCCGCAAGAUUGCCCCCUCCUUUGAUUGGUGGGUUUUUUUUACCCUCAAAUCAUAAUUUUGUUGCUGCUUACUCAAAAAAGAUUAAAAGACAUGCCUUUUCUGGUCCAUUGGCGAGUAAUCCAUGGCCAACCAAGCCUGUCUCAAUAGAAAGUGUUCAAUUGUUUUCUGGACCUUUUUUGCGGACUCCAAUUCCACAGCAUCCAUCAUCAUCAUCACCAAAAGUAUCUCCUAGUUCUUCUCCUACUCUUACAUCUUCUCCUAAAAUAAGUGAGCUUCAUGAACUUCCGAGGCCUCCAACCAGUUCCCCAUCCAAUUCAAGGCUUUCAGGAUUGGUGGGUCAUUCAGGUCCUUUGGUGUCCAGAGGUCAAAAGAUUUCUGCUGCAAAUGAUUUUGUUAUAUCAAAUGCAGUGUCUGUCUCUCCAUUGCCAGUGACUCGUCAGGCCAUGGCUCGAAGUUUCUCCAUACCUUCUAGUGGUGCUAAAGUUGCAGCAAUACAUGGAUCAAGGCUACUGGAAGACCCUCAUAGAUCAACUUUAUCUGAGGAUAUUGCUUCUCCUCCCCUGAAACCAAUUGCUUUACCUAGUAGUUGGCCGUCAUCAGAUGGCUCUAAGACCGUUGCUCAGGCUGUUUAGACUCGAGGUAAUACCCGUAGGAACUCGCUUGAUAUGUAUUUCGCAUCAUUUGCUUAGUUACAUGUCGAGUAGGUGGGGGCGUGGGGCUUCUACUCUGAAUUGGAGGGAACAUACAUGCUUAUAUUAAUAAUAAUAUCCAAUGAACCCAGGUACGGUACUUGUGCAGGUUAAUUCCACUCGAGUGAGAAGAUAGCUCUAUUUACGGCGUUGCAAGGGUCAAGUUUUGCUUCUCAUAGUUUGGUACAGUUCAAAACUGUAAAUAUUCCUUUUAUAAUUCUUUUAUCAAUUCGUUUUUUCUAAAGUUAUUUCAGAUAAUUUGUUUAAUAUUCACCGUU